UAAAGCUUUCUGCAGAAGAAUCCUGCUGUUGUUGCAUGCUGUUCUUGCCGGCGAGGACAGGGCACGCGACAAGAGUUAAUAUUCCUUUUUGAAUACUAGUUUUUUUCAUCAACUGUUUCUCAUCAUUUGUCUAGAAGUUGAAAUGUUAGUACAAUGACUGACAUGAGGGAAGAGAUUAGAGCUAAAGAUGCUUACAUGGAUAGAACUGUUCCUACUAUUACUUUAAGCAGGAAAGUAAAUAUUGAAUGAAAGGGUGGUGAGGUGCACUAGUUGCAGUCUGUUCUCACUGAAUAGACGUAAGAACAAAACCAGAGAAAAGGACACUCACUUUGGUGUUGGGAGAAAAAAAUCAGUGCCUGAUUAUUUUAGCUCAUAUUAACAGGCAUCUAAAAUAUAAAUGAAGUUUUAGUAUCACAUAUGAAGGCAGCAUCAUAUAAUUAAAUGAGACUCAUUGUAUGUACUUUAAAGUGUUUCCUGUAUUGUUUUUUCCAACUCAAAAUUUUCAAGUGCACUUCUAAAAGUUUGUUGACAUCGUGGUAGUACAGCUUGGUGUGAAUUCACAGCUAUUUAUCCCAGCACUUUCAAGGAACUCCCCUAAUUGGUUCCAAAUUCAAUUUAGGUUGUCUUAUCAAGCAACAGGAACUCAAAAUGUUGAUAGCACUAAGGCCUGUUGCAUACAAUUUCUAUAAAUCAUGAUAUGAAUUUUUUCUUGAGUGAUUCUGAACAGUGACUUAAAAUUUUAAAUAUAGAGCCAUGAAAUGGAAACUAGCAAUUAUUUGAGAAGGGAAAAGGAAAAAAGGAGUGUUUGGAGUUUUGAACAGUACCUCAAAAGGCAUCAGAAAAUAUUCACCACAAGGGAAAAGAUUUCAGAUAAGAGUACUUUUAGGGAUGUAAAAUGUUUGCCAGCAGUGUCUCUAUGCUAGGGAUUUUCAAGAGUUAGUCAUAAAUCAUACUUUUUCCUUUAACUUCUCUUUGCUCAAAUUCGGUUCUAAAUAGCCCGUGAAAAGUACAUUUUAAGUGGCAUUGCUCAAAUGUGGGUGUAGAGGCUAAUUCCAGGGAGAAUCAAGGGCGGAUUUAGCAAUGAACUACAAUGCAGAGAGGCUAAAGACUGUUACCUAGCUUUUUCCUAAUGCCUUUUUUCAAUAACACAAUAUUGGUAACAGAUAAUUGCACUAUAGGUUAGUGUAAAAUAAACAGAUUGCAUAUAUGUAUUUAAUAAUACCCGAAAAUAAAAAUAAGGCAAAUACAAUUCAGAUGACUUGUGAAUGCUGCACAAGUAAACCAUGAAGCUUAGCAAACAAAGCACUGGACAAAGAGUUUGAAACAAAAGGAAAGUUCCUCAACUCAUAAGAUUACAAUUUUUAUUUCCCUAUAAAAGGAAACGUCAGUAAUAGUUACCUUCCUGAAAUAGAAUGUUUCAAACGGGAGCUGGAAAACCACAACUAUUAUAACACACGUUUGCAAUCUGAAAUUCUGCUCUAUCUUGCUGUAUUUUCUCAUUUUCCGAUAUGCUUUAAAAGUGGGAAAUAGAAUUAGAGAGAGUGAGAAAUGUUAGGUAGAAACCUUCGGGUUUCAGCAAUAUGAAUCAGAAAACAGUGCGCAACAAGCACUGCCUUUAUUAUUCUUACAAAGGCUAUAGCUGAAAAAGAUGUGCUAAUGAAGUCUCUGUGGCGCAAUCGGUUAGCGCGUUCGGCUGUUAACCGAAAGGUUGGUGGUUCGAGCCCACCCAGGGACGCUUUGCUUUUACGCACUACUUGUAAGUAGUUUUGCACAGGUCUCUGAGCUCAGGCCUCCGGGACAGGCUGGAGCAGAGUUCCAGGGCCUAGAGAGGAGAAACCGCAGACCUGUCUUUGCCGUGCACCCAGUGGGGGCUCUUCAGCUUCGGGGCGCUCUGGGGUCCUCAGCCAACAGCCUGCGGCCCUCGCUGCCAGGAGGGCCCCUCCGGCCUUCCGCCAGGCUCGGCGUGUGAAUCGCCGCUCUAAAGACCGCGCGUACUUUUACUUCCACUCCCGCAGUUCCCAAACUCCGGCCGCGCGGGGCGCAGGGGGUCCUCGCUCUGCUCUCCUCUCUUGAGCCCCGGGUCAGACAGGUCCCGUCUCGGCAUUCCCGAACUCCGUGCGGGCGGCGAGCGCGGGGAGCACGCAGAAACCGAACGAGUCCCAGCCGCGCCCUGGGCUCGAACCCGUGGUCCUGCAGGCCCCGAAGCCGCGAGCUGGGACCGGUCCGCGCGGGCCUCAUUCGGCUUCAGGACCCCGGAAAUGUCAGAGGUCGAGUGCGUGUUUACGUGUUAAUGAAGGCUAACAUUUAUUAAAUGCUCACUACAUGCCACGUGCUGUUGUGAUUGCUUUCGCGGAUGAACGUGUGUGAUCCUCGCUACAACCCUUGCAGGGGGUGUGGAUAAAGUGAAGGUUCCUGUGGCCAGGAUUCUCA